CGCACUUGCCACUAAGCUACACCAUCCCCUGGCCACAACUUGCUCAUUUUACUUCCUAUUCUUUUCCCCUCACUUCCGUCUCCUGCCCUCCCAAGAUCAUCUCCCCAUGUCCACAAAUUCUGAAUCCACACUUCCUGUAAUUUUUAUUUUCCUCUUUAAAUUACUUAUACUUUGGGUAUCUUAUGUAAGAUAUAACAUGUGAUAUUUAACCUUCUAUAUUUGACUUUAGCAUUAUGGAUGCAAGGUAUAGUACAUCCAUUUUUCUACAAAUUACUCAGGU
rnacentral:lncRNA from 1 species